GUCUGCUUGGAGUUAUAAGAAGUCUAGCCUGCUCUCUGAUAAAUUUAAGGGCCGCGGUAAUUUGACCGUGCAAAGGUAGCAUAAUAGUUAGUUUUUUAAUUGGAAUCUUGUAUGAAUGGUUGGACAAAAGAAAUACUGUCUCUAUAAUUUUAUUUGAAUUUAACUUUUAAGUGAAAAGGCUUAAAUACAUUAAAAAGACGAUAAGACCCUAUAAAGCUUUAUAAGAAAAUUUUAUUUGGUUGAUUUAGAUUAAUAAAAGCCUAAUAUUUGUUCUUAUUUUAUUGGGGAGAUAAAAUUAUAAUUUUUUGUAACUGAUUAAAUAUAAAACAAAAAUAAAUGUUUAAACAAAAGUUAAUGAUCCUUAUUAAAGAUUCUAAGUUCAAGUUACUUUAGGGAUAACAGCGUUAUUUUUCUUGAGAGUUCAUAUCGAAAGAAAAGAUUGCGACCUCGAUGUUGAAUUAAAAUUUCUAAGUUAUUGCAGAAGUCACUUUAGAAGGUCUGUUCGACCUUUAAAUUUUUACAUGAUUUGAGUUCAGACCGGCGUAAGCCAGGUUGGUUUCUAUCUUUUAAUAAGAAAUAAAUUACCUUAGUACGAAAGGACUUGGUAAUUAAAUUUUUUUUAAGGUUGAUAAGUUAUUUUGGCAGAAUAUAUGUGUUGGA
rnacentral:rRNA from 1 species